GUUUGUUUGUAUUUCUUAGGGUUAGAUGUUCGACGAUAGGCACACAACGUUGUACUUUUCCGGCAUCUCGUGUCACGUUCAUUUAGACGAAAAUAAUUGGAGAAAAACGAUGGAUCCAUGGAACGUUUCAGAAACUCUUUGAUUCCCUUUCCUCAAUUGCACACACUUCCGAAGAUUGGGAGGAUCCCACUGCCUGUCGUUUCUUGCCCGAAACUAAGCGGGCGGUCGUCGCUUCCUUCACGAUGGAGGGGUGUUAGAAGCAGGGCCGUACACUUUGCACGUGUAAAAAUCAGAAGGUUAUCUCUAUUUCAACUUCUGUUUUCAUCGAUUCCUUCCAAUUGAAAUUUCACUCUACUCGCCAUGAAUAUCAAUCAAGAUAUUCAUUAUUAAUUGUUACAUAUGAUAACAAACAUUAGAAAACGG